GUAAAAUGGGUCUAUGGAAUCACUGUUGGUUUGAUCUUAGGUGCAAUCUAUUGGUGGUACUCAACUUUAACUUCGGAUUGGGGUUUUGCUUUUUUCAGGAAACCCUUUUUGUCUUUCUCCAAAUGGUCAAUGGAAAGUGAUGAAUCUACCACCAAUGGUUUGAAAACCGUGUUUCAUAAAGUAGCCCUCCCUGACUAUAACUCUAAGUUCAUCUUGAGAGAGGUGUAUAGAAGGAAAGUUUUCUUUAACUAUGAGAAGCGAUUAAGAUUGCGGAGUCUAUCGGAAAAGGGUAAAUGGUUGAAUACUUUGUGGAAUAUAUUUGGUUUACUUGCCUUUA